CUGACAGAUUUGUUAUCCGCAGUGCAGUCUGGCUCCUCCUGCGGCAGUGGUCACGUGCCUGCGUCUGUCCGAGUCUCCCGCGGCCGAUUAGCACAGCUGGUCUAGGGCACAGAAACACUGGUGGGCCAGAGUGCUAGGGAGUUUUGUUGCUGGGACGCAGGCUAUUAACGGGUAUAAAGGCUUCAAGACUUGAAGUUAGCGUUCCAAAACCUUCGUUUUAAACCUCGGUCCAGUGUUUAUUCCCUGCCAUACACUCGAACAUUCAUGCGUCUCUGUUUAAGUAAAGCUAAGUUUUACCCGGGCGCAGUGGUGCACGCCUGUAAUCCUAGCUGCUUGGGAUUCGGUGGGGCCCUCCCAAAGGAAUGUGGUGAGGACCUUCUCAGGACAAAGGAAGCCAAGGAACACUGUUCCUCUGUGCUGUGCAGGUAACCUGAACUGUACGCAAUCAGGCUGUAGGAUGUUACCCUGUUACUGUAUGAGGGAGACAAAACGUGUAAAGGGUGAAAUCGCAAGGCGCGGGGCUCCGCCUUUUGUGUAUUAGCCCACUAAGCCUGUGCUGGCAGAAAUGAGGUUGCUUCCUAGAAAGAAAAGCCUCAAUGUCCCAACUCCGUGCGAGGCAAAGAUGGUGUUUCACCUUCUGGCGCCAAGGUGCAGACCCGGGGACACUGGGAGAGGCACGCUCACCCAGUGAGGGGAGUGACAUCUGCCAGACAGAUAACCAAUUCGUUUUGGUAGACCUGUCCGUAGGAGACAGAAGAGGACCCUGAUCACCCAAAUAGUUGCAUAUGGUACGAAACUGCAACUUUAAGGUGCUGGGGUCUGGGCAGCGGUUUGGAAUUCACGGUGUGACUGCGUGUGAAUGGGAGAGAGUAGCACGGUUCCAACCUCACCGAAGGACUGAAGGGAAGGUUGAGUCCUGAUCCGAGGUUCCCUGGGGACCUUCUACAGUUUAGGGUGGUGUCAGACUUCCGAAGUCUAAUCCAGGUCGGGGCUUGAUACCGAACCCACCAACACCUACAGGCCCCUGAAAUAUCUCCCAGAGGGCAGAGGCUGGAAACGGAUGAAGCAGAUCUGCAGCCCACCGGUCAGUAGCAGUGUCAGGUGUGCAGCUUCCCUGGGUUCUCUUUACUGCCCUGGUUCCGAGACUGGGCGUUAUUGGAACCGUUCAGGUUUGUAAAACAGGAGCUGCUGCUUGCGAAAAUGGACUGCAAUGCUGUACAGGACUGCAUGGCUCUGCUUCCAGGCACAUGGCAGGAACCAGCAUGGUCAAGUUAGGGUUAGGGCUGGGGGAGUGCGAGAGAACAUGCUGAAAGACCUACUGUCCUCCCCUUUACCUGUCACUUUAUCCAGCAGAGCUGUGGCUGGAACAAACCCCAUGGUGGACACCCAGCUGCAAUCCUCCAGCCUCAGCCUCCCAGAGCGCUGGGAUAACAGGCAUGUGCCACUAUGCCUGGCUGCCUAUAGCAUUUUGUGUGCAAUAAACACUGAUGCACAGGCUAGCAUACUGACUGCAGCUAUCAUCUCAAUACAGGCACAUAGUUAACAGCCACCUAGCAGUCAGGAACUGGACAGUAUCACAGAGCAGCUCAUUCUCCAGCCUCUCAGCUUCCAGAGACAUGGCUUGCACACACCUCAGCCUGCAAUGUGAUCAGUGCUGAUGGCACGGAAAAUAGCAUGCCUGAGUCAGAAAUGUUUACACAGCUGGGUGGGCAGCGCACGCCUGCUGAGGCAGGAGAAUUGCUGCAAGCUCCAGGCCAGCCUGGGCUACAUAAUGAAACCCUGCUCAAAAAAAACAAGAAAAGAAAUGUUUGAGCAUAGAGCAGAGUGCGGGAAAGCAGGGUACAAAAUGCUGGAACUUAAUGCUUUUUUUUUUCUGGGAUUGUGUGGUCCCACAUGCCCACAUGAAGAGUGUGUGGCUGGAGUGGUGGUGCACACCGCUAACCCUGCUGCUCCAAGGCUGAGGCAUGAGGACUGCACCAGCCUGGGCAACACAGUGACUCAGCAAAACCUGUUUAAAAAAAUAACUGUAACAAAGAACUGAGCACACAGCUGCUUACAGGCCCUGGGUCCUACCUCCAGGACUGGAAGAGCAUGUGCUUGUCUCCACAAGAAGCUGCACGCCCGGCCAGAGCAGGGAAAUUAUGACGUACUACAGUACCAAGCUGUGCCCACUCCACUGGUCACGGCCAAGGAGGUAAGGACCUAGCCUAGACUUUUGGUGCUGCAGCAGGCGACUGGCAGUUGGCACAAUCCCAGUGUCUCUCUGAGCAUGACAGUUGCAGCCAAUCCCUAAGGAUGGUAACAGCCAACAUCUGGGCUACUCACUUCCACCAGUUAGGGUGAUGCCCACUUAGUCUACUCCCAGUGUCCUAGUCCCUGUACUUUAUGUACAUGGUCCUUAAGCUGCUGAGUUGCCUGUUACUCAGCAAAUAAUUCCCAAGGAUAAGGAGACAUGGGCCACCUCAAUGGGAAAUGCACCUAGUGCCAUGUCCAUGUCAGAUGCCACCCAACAAACUCCUAAGAGGGUGCUGACUUGGACCAGGUCAAAGUGUACUCCACCAAACCCCAGGAUCCUCAUUUGCCCUCCUGCAGCCUCGCAGUCUUCCUCGGAGGCCUGUAAGGGGGCAGAAGUCAUCUAGUCCAUCACAAGUAAUUGCAAGCCAUGGCUCCGCAGAGCACCACGCAGGCAGAGGCCCCAAGGCAGGGAUGUGCAUCAGCCCAGACCCGGCACCCACUGUAUCCCUGCAUGGUGUGGGGUCCAGAUUUCUACAGAAAUGGUGUGCCUUUUUUUUUUUUUUUUUUUUUUAAAUGAGAGUCCAGCUGGUGUGGAACUUGCUAUCCUCAGUCUCCCCAGCAGCUGAGACCACAGGCAUGGACCACUAUGCCUGGCAGGCUGUCUCAUGACUGAAUGGCUCUAAGUGGAACAUGGAGACACCCAGCAUGAGCCACCGCCCCAGUGAGCUGUGCAGUAUAAAUGCAGAAUCUUCAUGCACAUAAUUCGUUAGUGAGGGAUCGCGUUUGUGCAUUAUUAUUAUCAAGCUGGUUCCCAAAUGGCACCAGAGCACCUGGAAGGGCUCUCAUUCCAGUCACACAGCAGCAGGUGGCGUUGUCUGCCAGAUCCCAGCUCUAACUCCCUCUACCAGAGAGGCCACCUCUGAGAGAGGCCUUUCAUAGAGUCCUGUUAGCAUUCGGAGAGAGCCACCUGUGGGUCACAUGGCCGCACACAGAGACUGCACACAGAUGGGCCUGAGAACACAAAAGUCCCCACUCCUGGCAGAUGCAGAUCUCCCCUAGGGAAAGUAUGCACAAAUGCACAGCUGACCAGAUGUUUACUAGUCACAGGUCGGACAUCAAUAAAUAGGUCUCGGUAGCCCUUCAGCAGAACACCAGGGCUUGCCGAGAAGAUACAGACAAGUGCGGGCGAGAGGCAGUUCGGGCAGCAGCAGUUCUGGA